GACGGAGGGUGCAAGCGUUGUUCGGAUUGACUGGGCGUAAAGGGCGUGUAGGCGGUUGGUCAAGUCUGAUGUGAAAGCCCGGGGCUCAGCCCCGGAAGGGCAUCGGAAACUAGCCAGCUGGAGCGCGAUAGAGGAGGGUGGAAUUCCUGGUGUAGCGGUGAAAUGCGUAGAUAUCAGGAGGAACACCGGCGGCGUAGGCGGCCCUCUGGAUCGUUGCUGACGCUGAGACGCGAAAGCGUGGGGAGCAAACAGG
rnacentral:rRNA from 1 species